AUUGAACGCUGGCGGCAGGCCUAACACAUGCAAGUCGAGCGGAUGAAAGGAGCUUGCUCCUGGAUUCAGCGGCGGACGGGUGAGUAAUGCCUAGGAAUCUGCCUGGUAGUGGGGGACAACGUUUCGAAAGGAACGCUAAUACCGCAUACGUCCUACGGGAGAAAGCAGGGGACCUUCGGGCCUUGCGCUAUCAGAUGAGCCUAGGUCGGAUUAGCUAGGUGGUGAGGUAAUGGCUCACCAAGGCGACGAUCCGUAACUGGUCUGAGAGGAUGAUCAGUCACACUGGAACUGAGACACGGUCCAGACUCCUACGGGAGGCAGCAGUGGGGAAUAUUGGACAAUGGGCGAAAGCCUGAUCCAGCCAUGCCGCGUGUGUGAAGAAGGUCUUCGGAUUGUAAAGCACUUUAAGUUGGGAGGAAGGGUUGUAGAUUAAUACUCUGCAAUUUUGACGUUACCGACAGAAUAAGCACCGGCUAACUCUGUGCCAGCCGCCGCCGUAAUAC
rnacentral:rRNA from 1 species